rnacentral:rRNA from 1 species
UGCCAGCCGCCGCGGUAAUACGGAGGGUGCAAGCGUUAAUCGGAAUUACUGGGCGUAAAGCGCGCGUAGGUGGCUCGAUUAGUCAGAUGUGAAAGCCCCGGGCUCAACCUGGGAAUUGCAUUUGAUACUGUCGAGCUAGAGUCUGUCAGAGGGUGGCGGAAUUCCGGGUGUAGCGGUGAAAUGCGUAGAUAUCCGGAGGAACACCAGUGGCGAAGGCGGCCACCUGGGACAAGACUGACGCUGAGGUGCGAAAGCGUGGGGAGCAAACAGGAUUAGAUA